GCGUCAUUAGCUCAGUUGGUAGAGCAUAACCUUGCCAAGGUUAGGGUCGCGAGUUCGAGCCUCGUUUCCCGCUCCA
rnacentral:tRNA from 1 species